GCCCAUGUAGCUCAGUAGGCAGAGCACAUCCUUGGUAAGGAUGAGGUCAGCGGUUCGAUUCCGCUCAUGGGCU
rnacentral:tRNA from 1 species